UGAGAUCAAAUGUUACAGAUCAUGAUAAUCCUUCCAAUAGAACUCAUCUCUAAGAAUAAGCCUAACAAUAUAUAACAAAAGAAUACACAAUAUUUUUCAUAGAACAAGGGACAUACUUUUGGGUUGACUGAUCCUUCCCAAGCCAUUGGGUUUGCGGUCAUAGACUCCAAUCCAGCGCCAAUACCUGAUUUGUUAGAGGUAAGUUAGCCAAACAUGAUUUGUUAGAGGUAAGUUAGCCAAACAUGAUUUGUUAGAGGAACACCGAAUCCAAGGGAAUGCAGUUACAAUGCACUUCAGCAAAAGGAAAUGGCAAACAAACCAAUGUCAUAAAAUCCAGCUUUAAUAGCUG
rnacentral:lncRNA from 1 species